CCGUGGGCCUGUCAUUUAUGAGUCAUG
rnacentral:piRNA from 1 species